AACGAACGCUGGCGGCAGGCCUAACACAUGCAAGUCGAGCGCCCUUUCGGGGGAGCGGCGGACGGGUGAGUACCGCGUGGGAAUAUGCCCUUCUCUACGGAAUAGCCUCGGGAAACUGAGAGUAAUACCGUAUACGCCCUUUGGGGGAAAGAUUUAUCGGGGAAGGAUUAGCCCGCGUUGGAUUAGGUAGUUGGUGGGGUAAUGGCCUACCAAGCCGACGAUCCAUAGCUGGUUUGAGAGGAUGAUCAGCCACACUGGGACUGAGACACGGCCCAGACUCCUACGGGAGGCAGCAGUGGGGAAUCUUAGACAAUGGGGGCAACCCUGAUCGAGCCAUGCCGCGUGAGUGAUGAAGGCCUUAGGGUUGUAAAGCUCUUUCAGCUGGGAAGAUAAUGACGGUGCCAGCAGAAGAAGCCCCGGCUAACUCCGUG
rnacentral:rRNA from 1 species